rnacentral:rRNA from 1 species
CUGCGGCGUGCUUAACACAUGCAAGUCGAACGAUGAUCCCAGCUUGCUGGGGGAUUAGUGGCGAACGGGUGAGUAACACGUGAGUAACCUGCCCUUGACUCUGGGAUAAGCCUGGGAAACUGGGUCUAAUACCGGAUAUGACUCCUCAUCGCAUGGUGGGGGGUGGAAAGCUUUUGUGGUUUUGGAUGGACUCGCGGCCUAUCAGCUUGUUGGUGGGGUAAUGGCCUACCAAGGCGACGACGGGUAGCCGGCCUGAGAGGGUGACCGGCCACACUGGGACUGAGACACGGCCCAGACUCCUACGGGAGGCAGCAGUGGGGAAUAUUGCACAAUGGGCGCAAGCCUGAUGCAGCGACGCCGCGUGAGGGAUGACGGCCUUCGGGUUGUAAACCUCUUUCAGUAGGGAAGAAGCGUAAGUGACGGUACCUGCAGAAGAAGCGCCGGCUAACUACGUGCCAGCAGCCGCGGUAAUACGUAGGGCGCAAGCGUUAUCCGGAAUUAUUGGGCGUAAAGAGCUCGUAGGCGGUUUGUCGCGUCUGCUGUGAAAGACCGGGGCUCAACUCCGGUUCUGCAGUGGGUACGGGCAGACUAGAGUGCAGUAGGGGAGACUGGAAUUCCUGGUGUAGCGGUGAAAUGCGCAGAUAUCAGGAGGAACACCGAUGGCGAAGGCAGGUCUCUGGGCUGUAACUGACGCUGAGGAGCGAAAGCAUGGGGAGCGAACAGGAUUAGAUACCCUGGUAGUCCAUGCCGUAAACGUUGGGCACUAGGUGUGGGGGACAUUCCACGUUUUCCGCGCCGUAGCUAACGCAUUAAGUGCCCCGCCUGGGGAGUACGGCCGCAAGGCUAAAACUCAAAGGAAUUGACGGGGGCCCGCACAAGCGGCGGAGCAUGCGGAUUAAUUCGAUGCAACGCGAAGAACCUUACCAAGGCUUGACAUGAACCGGAAAGACCUGGAAACAGGUGCCCCGCUUGCGGUCGGUUUACAGGUGGUGCAUGGUGUCG